rnacentral:rRNA from 1 species
CCUACGGGGAGCAGCAGUGAGGAAUAUUGGUCAAUGGACGGAAGUCUGAACCAGCCAUGCCGCGUGCAGGAAGACGGCUCUAUGAGUUGUAAACUGCUUUUGUACAAGGGUAAACCUGAAUACGUGUAUUCAGCUGAAAGUACUGUACGAAUAAGGAUCGGCUAACUCCGUGCCAGCAGCCGCGGUAAUACGGUGGAUGCGAGCGUUAUCCGGAUUGAGUGGGUGUAAAGGAUGCGCAGGCGGAUUUUUAAGUCAGCGGUCAAAUCGUGGGGCUCCACCCCAUCCAGCCGUUGAAACUGGGGAUCUAGAGUGUGCGAGAGGUAGGCAGAAUUCGUGGUGUAGCGGUGAAAUGCAUAGAUAUCACGCAGAACCCAGAUUGCGAAGGCAGCAUACCGGUGCACAACCGACGCUCAGGCACGAAAGCGUGGGUAUCGAACAGGAUUAGAUACCCCGGUAGUC